UUGAAGAAUAGCCAGAAGGGCAAAGACUCAGCCAGUGAUCACCUCUAGGGUGAUCAAAGAAGGUCUAAAGUUACCUAUGAGUACUGUAACAAUUAGAAGAUGCCUAUGUGAAGCCAAGCUAUGGACAAGAAACCCCUGCAAAGUCCCAUUGUUG